CCGGAUGCCGUUGAGCCGCUGCUCUGGUCGCUGUCCAGGCUGAGGCUCAGAGUGGAGCCCACAGGCCCCUCCUGCAGGCGCUGUGCAGCCUUCACCCGGUCCCAGGUGUCCUUCCAGCGCUCAGGGGGUCGCCCCAGCUCCGUCUCCAGCCGCUGUAGCUCCUGGGGGAGAGUUGGAGAACUAAAAUUAUUCAGAAGAAAAUAUCCAGACUGGGGGUGCCUGGGUGGCUCAGUCGGUUGAGCGUCUGACUUCAGCCCGGGUCAUGAUCUCGCUGUCCGUGAGUUCGAGCCCUGCGUCGGGCUGUGUGCUGACCGCUCAGAGCCUGGAGCCUGUUUCAGGUUCUGUGUCUCCCUCUCUCCCUGCCUCUCCCCCCACUCAUGCUCUGUCUCUGUCAAUAAUAAACAAACGUUAAAAAAAACAAAUCAAAAAACAAUAUCCAGACUGAAACAUGAAAAGACAUAAUCAUGGAAAACAGGAAAGUUGAAGUGACAGACUGGAGCACUAAGUGGGUUAAGGGUAGGGGGAUGGGCAAAAACCAUGAUUUGGGCGCACCUGGGUGGCUCAGUCGGUUGAGCAUCCAACUCCUGAUUUCGAAUCAGGUCAUGAUCUCAUGGUUCAUAAAUUCAAGCCCCACGGCGGGCUCUGUGCAGACAAUAUGGAGCCUGCUUGGGAUCCAACCCCCCCCCCCCCCCCC